rnacentral:rRNA from 1 species
CCUACGGGAGUCAGCAGUGGGGAAUAUUGCGCAAUGGGGGAAACCCUGACGCAGCAACGCCGCGUGAAGGAUGAAGGUUUUCGGAUUGUAAACUUCUUUGACGAGGGACGAAUAAAUGACGGUACCUCGAAAACAAGCCACGGCUAACUACGUGCCAGCAGCCGCGGUAAUACGUAGGUGGCGAGCGUUGUCCGGAUUUACUGGGUGUAAAGGGCGAGUAGGCGGGACGACAAGUCAGAUGUGAAAUGUGAGGGCUCAACCCUCAAACUGCAUUUGAAACUGUUGUUCUUGAGUGAUGGAGAGGCAGGCGGAAUUCCCGGUGUAGCGGUGAAAUGCGUAGAGAUCGGGAGGAACACCAGUGGCGAAGGCGGCCUGCUGGACAUUAACUGACGCUGAGGAGCGAAAGCGUGGGGAGCAAACA